AGAGCGAACGCUGGCGGCAGGCUUAACACAUGCAAGUCGAACGGGCGUAGCAAUACGUCAGUGGCAGACGGGUGAGUAACGCGUGGGAACGUACCUUUUGGUUCGGAACAACACAGGGAAACUUGUGCUAAAUACCGGAUAAGCCCUUACGGGGAAAGAUUUAUCGCCGAAAGAUCGGCCCGCGUCUGAUUAGCUAGUUGGUAGGGUAACGGCCUACCAAGGCGACGAUCAGUAGCUGGUCUGAGAGGAUGAUCAGCCACAUUGGGACUGAGACACGGCCCAAACUCCUACGGGAGGCAGCAGUGGGGAAUAUUGGACAAUGGGCGAAAGCCUGAUCCAGCCAUGCCGCGUGAGUGAUGAAGGCCCUAGGGUUGUAAAGCUCUUUUGUGCGGGAAGAUAAUGACGGUACCGCAAGAAUAAGCCCCGGCUAACUCGUGCCAGCAGCCGC
rnacentral:rRNA from 1 species